ACUUUGAUGUCAUUGGCUGAUCGGUCUGCACAGCGCCGAUGCAUCUCAAACGAACGGCUUCUCGAUUCAUUUGUCUCUGAAUUGCGAAUCAUUUUGUAUUUUUUGAAUCGUUUCGCAAGCCCUACCUCACACAUGUGCACGGAGCGAGACGGCAGUGCAUGGAAGAUAAUACAGAUGAAUCGCUCCAAAAGAAGAUUACAAAACCAUCCAAAUACAUAACGGUGGAUGAAAACUCAGAGGUCGUAUGUGGGAGCCGCGCGAAAAGCACCGCCAACGUGUCAGCCAAAGAUGCUGCUGGGAUUAAGUAACAGCAAGACUCCUGGGAUUCCAUCAGCUCCUCAGCAUCAGAGUCCCAAGUGAAAAAGAAGAUAAAGAAGAAGAAAAUUAAGAAGCCAAGCAAGAGACACAAAAAAGGAGGAAAAAUAAUGAUAAUUUGUUGUCAUGUUAACAUCAUUAAAAUAAUAAUUGAUAAUCUUUUUUGAAAUAAGUUGUUUAAUUUAUAUUACUAUUAUUGUUAUUCAUAAUUAUUACUGUUAUUAAAAUAAUAUUAAAAUAAAUGUUUUGACAUAAAGGAUAUGCCAUUUUGUGUAUGUAAAUUUGUUG